ensembl:lncRNA
AUUGAACCUGGGCCCCCUGAACUGGGAGCAUGGAGUCUUAGCCACUGGAGCACCAGGGAAAUCUCUGUAAACCAUAUUUUAAUUAAAAAAACAGUGAAAGAUUCGCUAGACUUAUUCUCUUAUAAUUAGACUAUAAAUAUUACCUAAGCUACAAUUUAGGUCUUGAAAGCCCUCUGUCAUGGAUUUGACUGUCUCCUCCUCCGAAAUUCAUAUGUUGAAAUCUUAACCUUCAGCAUCUCAAAAUGGACUUUAUUUGUAAAUAGUGUCAUUGCAAAUGUAAUAAGUCAAGAUGUAGUCAUGAGGGUGGGCCCCAGUCAAAUAUGAAUCGUGGCUUUAUAAAAAUGGUAAAUUUAAGACACACGCAUAGAGGGAAAAUGCCAUGUGAUGGUGAAGGCAGAGAUUCUACAAGUUUUAUUAAAAAAAAUCAGAAGCUGCUGAAAUAUCAACAGUUUAUCCUGUGACUCUGGCAUGCUGUAGUUCAUGGGCCACAAAGAGUUGGAUACAACUUAGUGACUGAACAACAAACGUCUUCAGGUUACUGGUGCUUCCAAGGACUGUAAGAGGAUGGACAGUAUCAGCCACAGAGGAGGUGGGUGCUCAGAAUGAACUACCGGGUCCUUAGAAGAAAUUCACUAACAAGCUUAAGGGAGGUGAGAGUCCUACAAACUUUUGUAUGGAUAGAGUCAUCACCAAGUGUAUCUUGUUCAGUCCUGAGCACCAUACUUACAAAGGGCCUUGGCCAACCAGGGAUAGUCAGAGGGGAACAACCUCAGUGGAUGUUGCAUCAGGAAACCACUUAAUGCAAAGAAGAGGUGGAGAGAUAGAGUGUGAAGGGAACACUCAGACACUGAAAGUAGGAGUGUAAAUGGUAUAACUUGGGAAAGCACUGUGGUAAUACAUAUUUAAAAUAAUCUAAAAAUGUGGAUAUCCUACAACUUGGCAGUGCUACCUGUCCACAGAGAAACUCUUACCCAUGCGUGUAAGGAGACAAGAAGAAUAUUAAUUUAGAAUUGUGUAUAAUAGCAGAUAUAAAAAUAACCAAAAAAUACAGAAAAAUUUAGAGCCUAU